UGGCCCUCAUUUAUCAAACGAACGUAGAAAUGAGCGCAAAUCUGAACGCAUGAUUCAUCUUACGAUAGGACCCACGUGAGAUUUACGAAACCUUCGUAUCACACCAAUCCCAGCGUACGAAGGAUCUUGCGUUGAUAAAUACGGCGGCUGAGAUCGAUCGUAAUGAACGUGACACGCCCAUAUAAAAGCACGUCUUCAGAAGUCUCGCCCCCAACUUUUACGACAUGGAGAAACGUCCAACGGUAAAAUAGAGGAAUUUUUCCGAGACCCAAAUGGAGACGCUCGGGUCACUGGUGGAUGCGAACCGUCUGGUUUUAUUUGGCAGCCUAAAAGCUGGCAAUAAAGGCCAGCAAAAGAAUGCUAUAUGGAAGGAAAUAACUGUUGCAGUGAAUAUUGUUUCCAAUGUUCGUCGGGCUACGGAAGAGGUUUGUUAAUUAAAUUAAUUAAAUAAUAAAUUAAAUGUACAACUUCUGUUAUCCAGCUUAAAACAUUUCACAUAUAUGCUAUUGUUUGCAUUCCGUUAAAGUUAUUUAAUUCCGAAUAAGGUGAAGAAAAAAUGGUCCGACAUGAAGCUCAUCACCAAAAAACGUGUUGCGGCUGUGAAGCCGGCCAAGCAAGAAACGGGAGGAGGCCGGUGCAGUGCGACUGCAGCGUAACUCACCGAGAUGACUCUGACCAUGUAGUGCGCCCUGAUGUAGACGAUGCCCAACGUUGCUAUUUUGGAAAAUAAAAGAAUCGUGCGUGCCCCCAGGCCAUCGGGCUACCAUGUUCAGGAUUGACAUUCUGGCAUCGCAAAUAAUCUGAACAUUAACCGAAUGGUAGCUUUUGCGGUUGAUGUACGCGUAAUCAUUAAUAGAUGGUGGCUUCAUACGCACAUGGGUACAAUCAACCGCACCAAUCACAUUUGGAAACCUAGCAAUAGCAUAAAAAUCCCGUUUGAUUCCAGUUUGCUGAUCGUUAGUGUAUGGGAAUUUAAUAUAACGUUCAGAGAGGGACAGUAUAGCUGCCAAAACUGCUGGCAUGGUUCGGCUAAUACUUGGCUGGGAAAUACCAGACCUGUCCCCGAUCUCCCGCUGAAAGGUCCCGGUGGCCAAAAACCCCAAGGUAGAGCACACCUGCACUGGCACAGGUAUUGCGUUUGAUCGCCUAGUUUCUCGCCUUAACUGUGGCUCCAAAUCAUUGCAUAGCUCCAUCAGGAGAUGCCUUGGGAGACGAAAACGACUCAAGAGCCAUUCAUCGCUCUCCAUAAAAAAAUCGGCGCGGUCUCGAAAAACUCUCUCUCGUCUUAGACGUGCGUUGAGGUCCUCUAACAGAGCCAGAUCUGCCAUCGCUGCGACUCGACCACCUAUUUGGCAAAGCUCCUGUUUAUAUAGACAGCUGAAUAAACAUUUCACCUGUCACAUUCUAAUUAUUUUCAUAGCAAUACUGUUUUUAAUUAGGGCUGACUUGAUUGUAAUUGUUUGAACGGCUGGGCUAAUUCCAAUUUAUUUAGUAAUUAAUACAGAUGUGCAACAUGGGCUACUUGUGCUGCACUAUUCAUCAGUGAAAUACCCGUGUGUUGCGCCAAAAAAACUUGCGUACACAAGCUCAGACCUGACGUGAGAUUUCAUCGCAGCCUGCGCUCACGUUCAAAUUGAUAAAUGCCAAGCUCAACGUUGAAAUGAGCGUAGAUCCAUUUUACGCACGUUUUCUGUCGUACGCUCGUUUGAUAAAUGAGGGCCAAUGUCUCUCUCUCUCAGACUCACUCACUCAAUGACAAAGUUGUGAUAGAAAAGUUGAAAAGCUGUCUGCUAUAUGUUUUAUCUUUAUAUUCAAUUUAAAAAAUAUCUUGUGGUUUGUGUGUGUUUGUGUUUGCAUGCGUCCGUGAGUCAAAUGAAGACAUCUGAUACAAGUAGAGGAAAAACGCUGUCACUUCAUGAUUGGUCAGAAUUAAAACAUGUGACGUGUUUUUUCAGAUGAUAUAGCAGAGCUGACUCCUGAGAGCAGACGUAUUGGAAGCUGUCAGGGAGGAACCCUGGUAACCAUCUCUGAACUGGACCCUGGACUCUCUGAGGAACCUGAGGACAUGUCUAUGGACCGGGAGGAGACCGGGAAGAGAAGAUUUGCUGGUAGAGCAAAGAAGAAGGCUAAGUCCAGACGCCGUGGAAGCCGUCAGAGAGUAACAAAGGUCACGAUCUCUGAACCGGAGCCUGGACUCUCUGAGGAACCUGAGGACACGUCUUUGGACCGGGAGGAGACCAGGAAGAGAAGAUUUGCUCUAUGGUUUCACAUCACUGUCAUUGUGAGCAUCGGACUGCUGAGUAUUCUCCUCAUCUCCCUGCGCUUCAGUGAGUCUAAAUCCUAUCCUCCUGAAUAGAAUUACA